UCGCCUGUUUAUCAAAAACAUGUCUUUUUGAAAAUAAUUUAAAGUCUAAUCUGCCCACUGAUAAUUUAUUAAAGGGCUGCAGUAUUUUGACUGUACAAAGGUAGCAUAAUCAAUAGUCUCUUAAUUAGUGACUUGUAUGAAAGAUUGGAUGAAAUAUAUUCUGUCUCUAAUUAAUUUAUAGAAAUUAAUUUUUUAGUAAAAAAGCUAAAAUAAUUUUAAAAGACGAGAAGACCCUAUAGAGUUUAAUAAUUUAUUUAAUUAUUAUUAAUAUAUAAUUUUUAAAAUUAAAAUUAAAUAAAUUAUUUUGUUGGGGUGAUAGAAAAAUUAAAUUAACUUUUUUUAUUUAUUAACAUUAAUUUAUGAUUAGAUGAUCCAUUAAUAAUGAUUAAAAGAAAAAAUUACCUUAGGGAUAACAGCGUAAUUUUUUUUUUUAGUUCAAAUAGGAAAAAAAGUUUGCGACCUCGAUGUUGGAUUAAGAUAAAAUAUUAAAUGCAAAAGUUUAAAAUUUUGAUCUGUUCGAUCAUUAAAAUCUU
rnacentral:rRNA from 1 species